UAACCCAUUACAAUAUACCAUCUGGGCAGGUAACCCAUUACAAUGUGACCAUCUGGGUAGGUAACCCAUUACAAUAUACCAUCUGGGCAGGUAACCCAUUACAAUGUGACCAUCUGGGUAGGUAACCCAUUACAAUAUACCAACUGGGCAGGUAACCCAUUACAAUGUGACCAUCUGGGUAGGUAACCCAUUACAAUAUACCAUCUGGGCAGGUAACCCAUUACAAUAUACCAUCUGGGCAGGUAACCCAUUACAAUGUGACCAUCUGGGCCGGUAACCCAUUACAAUAUACCAUCUGGGCAGGUAACCCAUUACAAUGUGACCAUCUGGGCCGGUAACCCAUUACAAUAUACCAUCAUAAAAAAAAAAAAAUCCUCGUAUUUUUCAAUCAUUGGGUAGGUCGCCUGGAACAAUUAGACCACUCGCGAAAUUCUUCGCGUUUCUUUUAUCAUUGGGCAGGUUGCCCAAAACAAUUUGAUCCAUUUCAAAAAAAAAAAAA